rnacentral:rRNA from 1 species
GACGAGGGAUCCUAGCGUUGUUCGGAAUCAUUGGGCGUAAAGCGGGUGUAGGUGGCUUUAUAAGUCGGGUGUGAAAGCCCUGGGCUCAACCCAGGAAGUGCAUUCGAUACUGUUUAGCUUGAGUGCGGGAGAGGUUACUAGAAUUCUUGGUGUAGUGGUGAAAUACGUAGAUAUCAGGAGGAACACCGGCGGCGAAGGCGGCUAUCUGGUCCAACACUGACACUGAGGCCCGAAAGCGUGGGGAGCAAACAGG